rnacentral:rRNA from 1 species
GCCCAGCCGUAAACUUUAACUUACAGCCUAACCGCCAGAGAACUACGAGCCUAGCUUGAAACUCAAAGGACUUGACGGUUCCCCACAUCCCCCUAGAGGAGCCUGUCCUAUAAUCGAUAAUCCCCGUUAAACCUCACCCCUCUUAGCCUAUCCAGCCUGUAUACUUCCGUCGCAAGCCCACCACAUGAGUGAAACUCAGCGGGCUUAAUUGCCUUUCAACACAAACGUCAGGUCAAAGUGCAGCAAAUAGAGCGGGAAGAGAUGGGCUACAUUCCCUAAUAUAGGGUAUACGAAAAGCUGUAUGAAACCCAGCUACGAAGGUGGAUUUAGCAGUAAAGAGGGAAUAGAGCGCCCCCUUUAACCCGGCACUGGGGUGCGUACACACCGCCCGUCACCCUCCUCAAUGCCACUCACAAGUACUUAACACCAAAUAGCUUCAAGAGGAGGCAAGUCGUAACA